CAGAUUUAGUUGGGGACUCACAGGAGACUGCCGGGGUUAACUCGGAGGAAGGUGGGGAUGACGUCAAAUCAUCAUGCCCCUUAUGUCUUGGGCUUCACGCAUGCUACAAUGGCCGGUACAGAGGGCUGCAAUACCGCAAGGUGGAGCGAUCCCAAAAAGCCGGUCUCAGUUCGGAUUGAGGUCUGCAACUCGACCUCAUGAAGUCGGAGUCGCUAGUAAUCGCAGAUCAGCAACGCUGCGGUGAAUACGUUCCCGGGCCUUGUACACACCGCCCGUCAAGUCACGAAUCGGUAACACCCGAAGCCGGUGGCCUAACCGUAAGGAAGGAGCCG
rnacentral:rRNA from 1 species